rnacentral:rRNA from 1 species
GACGAACGCUGGCGGCGUGCUUAACACAUGCAAGUCGAACGGAAAGGCCCUGCUUGCAGGGUACUCGAGUGGCGAACGGGUGAGUAACACGUGGGUGAUCUGCCCUGCACUUCGGGAUAAGCCUGGGAAACUGGGUCUAAUACCGGAUAGGAGCCAUUUUUAGUGUGAUGGUUGGAAAGUUUUUUCGGUGUAGGAUGAGCUCGCGGCCUAUCAGCUUGUUGGUGGGGUAAUGGCCUACCAAGGCGGCGACGGGUAGCCGGCCUGAGAGGGUGGACGGCCACAUUGGGACUGAGAUACGGCCCAGACUCCUACGGGAGGCAGCAGUGGGGAAUAUUGCAUAAUGGGCGCAAGCCUGAUGCAGCGACGCCGCGUGGGGGAUGACGGCCUUCGGGUUGUAAACUCCUUUCGCUAGGGACGAAGCUUUUUGUGACGGUACCUAGAUAAGAAGCACCGGCUAACUACGUGC